GGUGGGAAACUCGGCUCACUGUGCCCGGCACAUUAUUCGGCACAGCACCACACAUCUGGGCACCCUUCCAACCAUUUCUUUCUUUCUUCUUUUUCUGCACACGAUUAGAUUUGACAGCUGAAAUUUUGUUGUUCACGGAGAAAAACAAAUAUACUAGUUAGUUUUUCUGUGUCUUGAAGUGAUGCCUAAAAUGAAUAACUAAUAUAUGGAGAAGAAAAUGCCCGAAGCCAUAAAAAUAGUUUUCAGCAGUUGUGGCGUGCUAGGCCCUCAUCAGAGGACGCCAUCAUCAAGGGACAUUUGUCUCAGGGAGCUUACCGCAGGAGGAGAUUAGAAUUUACGAAUUUGGUGAAAUUGGAUUCAAUAAUUACGAUAAGAUUAUUUUGUGGGAGAGUAUCAAUCCGGUCGUCGUGAGCGAUUCGUAAACAACUGCUUCAAGUAUGUAGGAAGAUUAUUGUGAUCAACGCUGGACAGAUUGGAAGAAACCUUAACCAU